rnacentral:rRNA from 1 species
CCUACGGGUGACAGCAGUGGGGAAUAUUGCACAAUGGGGGAAACCCUGAUGCAGCGACGCCGCGUGAGUGAAGAAGGAUUUCGGGACGUAAAGCUCGAGCAGCAGGGAAGAAAAUGACGGUACCUGACUAAGAAGCCCCGGCUAACUACGUGCCAGCAGCCGCGGUAAGACGUAGGGGGCAAGCGUUAUCCGGAUUUACUGGGUGUAAAGGGAGCGGAGACGGCAGCGCAAGUCUGGAGUGAAAUCCCAUGGCUUAACCAUGGAACUGCUUUGGAAACUGUGCAGCUAGAGUGCAGGAGAGGUAAGCGGACUUCCUCGUGUAGCGGUGCAAUGCGUAGAUAUUAGGAGGAACACCAGUGGC